rnacentral:rRNA from 1 species
UGAAGUUGGAAUCGCUAGUAACCGCGGAUCAGCAAUGGCGCGGUGAAUCUGUUCCUGGGUCUUGUACUCACCGCCCGUCACGUCAUGAAAGAUGGAGGCGCCCGAAGUCCUGUUAGCUUACGAGCGCGGGCCUAAGGUGAAACCAUUGAUUGGGACGAAGUCGUAACAAGGUAUCCGUAGGAGAACCUGCGGAUGGAUCACCUCCUUUCUAAGGAG